rnacentral:rRNA from 1 species
CCUACGGGUGGCAGCAGUAGGGAAUCUUCCACAAUGGGCGAAAGCCUGAUGGAGCAACGCCGCGUGGGUGAAGAAGGUCUUCGGGUCGUAAAACCCUGUUGUUAGGGAAGAAAGUGCGUGAGAGUAACUGUUCACGUUUCGACGGUAUCUAACCAGAAAGCCACGGCUAACUACGUGCCAGCAGCCGCGGUAAUACGUAGGGGGCAAGCGUUAGCCGGAUUUAUUGGGCGUAAAGGGAACGCAGGCGGUCUGUUAAGUCCGAUGUGAAAGCUUUCGGCUUAACCGGAGUAGUGCAUUGGAAACUGGGAGACUUGAGUGCAGAAGAGGAGAGUGGAACUCCAUGUGUAGCGGUGAAAUGCGUAGAUAUAUGGAAGAACACCAGUGGCGAAAGCGGCUUUCUGGUCUGUAACUGACGCUGAGGUUCGAAAGCGUGGGUAGCAAACAGGAUUAGAUACCCUUGUAGUC